rnacentral:lncRNA from 1 species
CUGUGUUGUUUGCUAAGUGAGCAAAUGACCUCCUGCAGGAACAGACGUGGCUGAAACCACCCCAAAUUGCUCUCCCCAACCCCUUCUCCUGCUCUCUUCCAUCCAACCCCCAUACAAACAAAGGAAUAUCAAAUGUCCACUUGCUGGGAGGAUUCUACUCCCACUGAGAUAGAAAAAAGGAUGUGUCGGACCCUCGGAUCAGAGCAUAUCAUCUGCUCUCUCAUCGAAGGCAGGGACCGAAUGACCCGUGACUGGAAAUCUCGAGGCCAGGCUUAGGCCUAUUAGAAAAAUAUGGAACAAUUAUGAAUGGCAGGAAAAUUGUUUUUUGUUUGCUUUGGCAGAGAGAAGAAAACCCUCCUGGAGCCUGGAUUUAAGGUGGGGAGAAGACAGGGAGGAGACUGCAGUGUGUGCCAAGUGUCCUGGGAAAAGAACUCAUGUUUUCUGUGGCCCUGCUAAGGCAUGGUGCGAGACACCUUCAUCGAUGCAGCAGGGGCUCCCCAAGCACCUUCUGCACACUCAGCGCUGAUCUGGGUGCAGGGACACAGCCAGACUGUCUGCCCCAAAUCUGGGUUAGUCCAAAGUUGGAGCAGACAGACAAGGUCCCUGCCCCCAGGGAGGAGGAAAGGUAAGAUGAAUGAAAGCAAACAAUAAGGAAGAAUCUCAGCGAUGACUGCUAUGAGAAAGUGGAGCCAGGUGAGCUGUGAGGGAGGGGCAUGCCCUAGGGGCUGGCGGGGGGACCUGAGAGAGGAGAUCUAGCCUGCCAUUCCAAAUGGGAAGAGCAUUUUGGGUGGCAGGAACUCUGCCAGAAUGCUCACCUGCACCCUGGCCUCUUGGCCUCACCCGAAGCCUAGGCUCUGAAUUUUGUUUUCCCCAUUGUACAGGCAAGGAAACUGAGGCUUAGAGAGAGAAAGUGCUUUGCCCAAGGCCCAGGGCAGCGGGAAGAUUAGAGCCAGCACUCUAAGGACUGCAGUCCUUUCUGCGUUCUAAUCUUUGUGCCUUGGAUCCAGACCAAAGGAUAGGGUAAUUGACACGUCACUUCUUCCCAGGCCCAGUGAAGUGGGAAAGUUGGUGUGACGUUUUCCAGAUCCUCCGCAGGAAUGGCCCACAAGACCCAGAGCCUGGCAAACUGCAUGGGCAGUGCCCAAAAUUGCCACCCCAGGAGCAGAGGCCACUGAUGUGCAGCAGUUUAAAUGUUGCCCUA